ACUAAGCGUACACGGUGGAUGCCCUGGCAGUCAGAGGCGAUGAAGGACGUGCUAAUCUGCGAUAAGCGUCGGUAAGGUGAUAUGAACCGUUAUAACCGGCGAUUUCCGAAUGGGGAAACCCAGUGUGUUUCGACACACUAUCAUUAACUGAAUCCAUAGGUUAAUGAGGCGAACCGGGGGAACUGAAACAUCUAAGUACCCCGAGGAAAAGAAAUCAACCGAGAUUCCCCCAGUAGCGGCGAGCGAACGGGGAGCAGCCCAGAGCCUGAAUCAGUGUGUGUGUUAGUGGAAGCGUCUGGAAAGGCGCGCGAUACAGGGUGACAGCCCCGUACACAAAAAUGCACAUGCUGUGAGCUCGAUGAGUAGGGCGGGACACGUGGUAUCCUGUCUGAAUAUGGGGGGACCAUCCUCCAAGGCUAAAUACUCCUGACUGACCGAUAGUGAACCAGUACCGUGAGGGAAAGGCGAAAAGAACCCCGGCGAGGGGAGUGAAAAAGAACCUGAAACCGUGUACGUACAAGCAGUGGGAGCACGCUUAGGCGUGUGACUGCGUACCUUUUGUAUAAUGGGUCAGCGACUUAUAUUCUGUAGCAAGGUUAACCGAAUAGGGGAGCCGAAGGGAAACCGAGUCUUAACUGGGCGUUAAGUUGCAGGGUAUAGACCCGAAACCCGGUGAUCUAGCCAUGGGCAGGUUGAAGGUUGGGUAACACUAACUGGAGGACCGAACCGACUAAUGUUGAAAAAUUAGCGGAUGACUUGUGGCUGGGGGUGAAAGGCCAAUCAAACCGGGAGAUAGCUGGUUCUCCCCGAAAGCUAUUUAGGUAGCGCCUCGUGAAUUCAUCUCCGGGGGUAGAGCACUGUUUCGGCAAGGGGGUCAUCCCGACUUACCAACCCGAUGCAAACUGCGAAUACCGGAGAAUGUUAUCACGGGAGACACACGGCGGGUGCUAACGUCCGUCGUGAAGAGGGAAACAACCCAGACCGCCAGCUAAGGUCCCAAAGUCAUGGUUAAGUGGGAAACGAUGUGGGAAGGCCCAGACAGCCAGGAUGUUGGCUUAGAAGCAGCCAUCAUUUAAAGAAAGCGUAAUAGCUCACUGGUCGAGUCGGCCUGCGCGGAAGAUGUAACGGGGCUAAACCAUGCACCGAAGCUGCGGCAGCGACGCUUAUGCGUUGUUGGGUAGGGGAGCGUUCUGUAAGCCUGCGAAGGUGUGCUGUGAGGCAUGCUGGAGGUAUCAGAAGUGCGAAUGCUGACAUAAGUAACGAUAAAGCGGGUGAAAAGCCCGCUCGCCGGAAGACCAAGGGUUCCUGUCCAACGUUAAUCGGGGCAGGGUGAGUCGACCCCUAAGGCGAGGCCGAAAGGCGUAGUCGAUGGGAAACAGGUUAAUAUUCCUGUACUUGGUGUUACUGCGAAGGGGGGACGGAGAAGGCUAUGUUGGCCGGGCGACGGUUGUCCCGGUUUAAGCGUGUAGGCUGGUUUUCCAGGCAAAUCCGGAAAAUCAAGGCUGAGGCGUGAUGACGAGGCACUACGGUGCUGAAGCAACAAAUGCCCUGCUUCCAGGAAAAGCCUCUAAGCAUCAGGUAACAUCAAAUCGUACCCCAAACCGACACAGGUGGUCAGGUAGAGAAUACCAAGGCGCUUGAGAGAACUCGGGUGAAGGAACUAGGCAAAAUGGUGCCGUAACUUCGGGAGAAGGCACGCUGAUAUGUAGGUGAAGCGACUUGCUCGUGGAGCUGAAAUCAGUCGAAGAUACCAGCUGGCUGCAACUGUUUAUUAAAAACACAGCACUGUGCAAACACGAAAGUGGACGUAUACGGUGUGACGCCUGCCCGGUGCCGGAAGGUUAAUUGAUGGGGUUAGCGCAAGCGAAGCUCUUGAUCGAAGCCCCGGUAAACGGCGGCCGUAACUAUAACGGUCCUAAGGUAGCGAAAUUCCUUGUCGGGUAAGUUCCGACCUGCACGAAUGGCGUAAUGAUGGCCAGGCUGUCUCCACCCGAGACUCAGUGAAAUUGAACUCGCUGUGAAGAUGCAGUGUACCCGCGGCAAGACGGAAAGACCCCGUGAACCUUUACUAUAGCUUGACACUGAACAUUGAGCCUUGAUGUGUAGGAUAGGUGGGAGGCUUUGAAGUGUGGACGCCAGUCUGCAUGGAGCCGACCUUGAAAUACCACCCUUUAAUGUUUGAUGUUCUAACGUUGACCCGUAAUCCGGGUUGCGGACAGUGUCUGGUGGGUAGUUUGACUGGGGCGGUCUCCUCCUAAAGAGUAACGGAGGAGCACGAAGGUUGGCUAAUCCUGGUCGGACAUCAGGAGGUUAGUGCAAUGGCAUAAGCCAGCUUGACUGCGAGCGUGACGGCGCGAGCAGGUGCGAAAGCAGGUCAUAGUGAUCCGGUGGUUCUGAAUGGAAGGGCCAUCGCUCAACGGAUAAAAGGUACUCCGGGGAUAACAGGCUGAUACCGCCCAAGAGUUCAUAUCGACGGCGGUGUUUGGCACCUCGAUGUCGGCUCAUCACAUCCUGGGGCUGAAGUAGGUCCCAAGGGUAUGGCUGUUCGCCAUUUAAAGUGGUACGCGAGCUGGGUUUAGAACGUCGUGAGACAGUUCGGUCCCUAUCUGCCGUGGGCGCUGGAGAACUGAGGGGGGCUGCUCCUAGUACGAGAGGACCGGAGUGGACGCAUCACUGGUGUUCGGGUUGUCAUGCCAAUGGCACUGCCCGGUAGCUAAAUGCGGAAGAGAUAAGUGCUGAAAGCAUCUAAGCACGAAACUUGCCCCGAGAUGAGUUCUCCCUGACCCUUUAAGGGUCCUGAAGGAACGUUGAAGACGACGACGUUGAUAGGCCGGGUGUGUAAGCGCAGCGAUGCGUUGAGCUAACCGGUACUAAUGAACCGUGAGGCUUAACC
rnacentral:rRNA from 1 species